CGCGGCCUAUCAGCUUGUUGGUGAGGUAACGGCUCACCAAGGCAUCGACGGGUAGCUGGUCUGAGAGGAUGAUCAGCCACACUGGGACUGAGACACGGCCCAGACUCCUACGGGAGGCAGCAGUGGGGAAUAUUGCACAAUGGGCGAAAGCCUGACGCAGCAACGCCGCGUGGGGGAUGAAUGCCUUCGGGUUGUAAACCCCUUUCAGCAGGGACGAAAAUGACGGUACCUGCAGAAGAAGCUCCGGCCAACUACGUGCCAGCAGCCGCGGUAAUACGUAGGGAGCGAGCGUUGUCCGGAAUUAUUGGGCGUAAAGAGCUCGUAGGCGGUUCAGUAAGUCGGGUGUGAAAACUCGAGGCUCAACCUUGAGACGCCACUCGAUACUGCUGUGACUUGAGUCCGGUAGAGGAGUGUGGAAUUCCUGGUGUAGCGGUGAAAUGCGCAGAUAUCAGGAGGAACACCAGCGGCGAAGGCGGCACUCUGGGCCGGUACUGACGCUGAGGAGCGAAAGCAUGGGGAGCAAACAGGAUUAGAUACCCUGGUAGUCCAUGCCGUAAACGUUGGGCACUAGGUAUGGGAUCAUAUCAACGGAUUCCGUGCCGUAGCUAACGCAUUAAGUGCCCCGCC
rnacentral:rRNA from 1 species